rnacentral:sRNA from 1 species
GCUUUCUAAAAAACAGAAGAAAAAGAAACAGAAACCAGCACAGAAUUAUGAUGACAAUUUCAAUGUAAAUGGAACUGGAGAAGGAGUAAAGGUUGAUCCAGAAGAUACUAACUUAAAUCAAGACAGUGCCAAAGAAUUGGAAGAUAGUCCCCAGGAAAAUGUCAGUGUCACAGAGAUCAUUAAACCAUGUGAUGAUCCAAAAAGUGAAGCUAAAAGGUAAUUUAGAUGUAUCUGUACAUAUUUAUGUAUAGAUACACACACACAUAUGUAUACAGAUGAAGAGCGUUGAGAAGAGGAUGCUAGAGGAAUGUGCCCACACACAUCUCAGUAGCAUGGCCAAAAUCAGAAAGAUGUCACUUUGAUCCAGUUCUUGUUUACCUUAUCCUGCUGUGGCGCUGAUUUUGUCGUGGAUCAUUAACACUUGACACUCACAUGAGACAAGACUCCUGCUGCGUCCCUGGAGUGUCACUAAGCAAAUCUCCAUGCUCACGACAGCAGCCUGUGUUGGGCCCCACCAUGUUGUGAGGACACAUGGCAGCAGCUGGGGCCCUUCCUGCUCAGAGGAGCCCUGGACUCUUGGUGCUGCACAAGGCCAUGGUGUGGACUAGGAGGAGGUCUCACCCAAGGGAGGUAGCCAGUCCUGUUCUCUCCUUCCUCCUCUUGUCUGACUUUCUUUUCCCCAUCCUCCUCGGUUCCUCUAGAACAGAGAAUCAUUUCUUGUUUCUUGAGGAAAGAUCUGAUAGUGAGGAGCUUCAAGUUUCUGUCAUUACAGAACCCUGAAAAGAAUUAAAGUGACAGAGCAAAGUGGGAGCAUGACGUGAAAAUGCUAACACUGGAGCAACCGUGAUGGGGAGGGGAGUGUGUGUACUUAGGAGUUUAAGGCACUUAGUAGUAGGAAGGAGGAAACAGAUGUGGCUGAGACCUACAGUAUGACUCUGGCUAUAGAAAAAGGUAUAUAAAGAACUACACAAACUGGUAAUGUUGAAGCUUUGAAGAACUUUGGAGAGUUGAAGCCUAGAAGGGGAAAUUCACAUGUAUUUCACUCUGACACCAGGUGUUUGUUCCCUUUCUACAAAUGGGGAAACUGAAUUUCAGGUUAAUUGUCCAAGGACAAACGCUAUUGAGUAGAGGCUGACACUUCAUUCCAUCUGCCUGACAGCUUGAAGGCACCCAGAUCAUCUGACUCCAUGGAGCCUGUGUGUCCUGUGGGAUGGGCACAAAGAGUGGGCCAGGAGGUGGGGCUCUGGGCCCCUGAACCCCUUUUUCAUCUAAAACUAAAAUGUUUUCCAUGUUACUUCUUUUUUUUUUUUUUUUUGGAGAUGGAGUCUCGCUCUGUUGCCCAGGCUGGAGUACAGUGGCGCAACCUCGGCUCACUGCAACCUCCGCCUCCCGGGUUCAAGCAAUUCUCCUGCCUCAGCCUCUCGAGUUGCUGGGACUGCAGGCAUGCACUGCCACGCCUGGCUAUUUUUUUGUAUUUUAGUAGAGAUGGUUUCACCAUGUUGCACAGGGUGGUCUUGAACUCCUGACCUCAUGAUCUGCCCGCCUUGGCCUACCAAAGUGCUGGGAUUACAGGUGUGAGCUACCGUGUCUGGCCUCCAUGUUACUUCUACAUGAGAAUUGAUCUGGGGAGGAAGAAGGGUUCUCAGGCUUGGGCAACCACUGAUAUAGUUCAGCUUUCUAAUUUCACUGAUGUGAGGAAAGGAUUCAGAGAAUUCAAGUGACUUCUUCACAGCUGCAGAAUGGCAGGGCUAAGAUAGAUACAUUAUACCCAGCACCCUCCCCACACCACUCUGCUGUCCCCUGGAUCCAGGGCCUUUAUGCUGGCAGCUCCUCUGUUGCUUCUCUGGAGUGGUGUGGACACUGGGCACCUACUGAGAAGUGUUUUUUAAAAAAAUGUGUGUGUGUGUGUGUAUAGUAUUUUUAAAAAAUAAAGGUCUUAGAUAUCAGCUUCAGAGAUGUAACUGUCAUUCAUAAUAUAAGUGAUGUUUGCCAGGAAUAUUAUCCUAAAUUUGUUAGACAUAUUUCUGACAUAUCUGUGAUGAUAGUUUGAAAAUUAGUAUGUAUUAUUUGUUGCCUUUUAUGCCAUUGUGUCCUUUUCUUGAUGUUUUCAAAGCUGGCUGAAUCCUACACAAUAUGUUACACUCCUAAUCUGCGUUUUUUAAAUGCAUAGGCCAUUUAACUUAGCACAGACUAUUGGCCUCUGCUUGAAGAAUAGUAUACCUAUAAACUGGAAGCAUUAUCAUCACUUACUCAUUAUAACCCAUCCUGUCUGUUCUGUACAGUAUAGUUGGACCCAGAUUUUUACCCUAUGAAUUUGGUUAGCACAAAUGAGGGAAAGUAUGAAAUGCCAAGGAAAAUUGAAAUUCAUGUAGGAGAUGAGUAGAGGAAUGUUCAGGAGUUCAAGCAGAACAAGAGGAACCCAACUAUACCAUUUCUGAUCUAAAUGAUGUGGUGGGGAAAAACCAUCAGAUCAACAGAAAGGACAUAAUUUUUAAAUAAAAGUA